rnacentral:lncRNA from 1 species
CUGCCCCCCCACCCCCGGCAGCUGAAACCCACGCGCAGACCCGGGCCUUGCAGGCCUCAGAGGAGGAAGCGCACAUAAAGGGAAAUUGUAUGCAGUCAGCCUACCCUCCCGCGCCACCGCUGCGUUUUUUUAAGGAGUUGACAUCAAAGUCUGGGAAGUCGCUCGGGCGGAACCUGAGAAUCCCUUGCUCAGCAAAUCCACCUGCAGUGCCCGGGGCCUCCGAGGCUGAGGAAGAAGAAAAGCCCUUUUCUUGCGCAGAAGCCAGAUGAGGAAACUGAGGUCCAGAUAAAAAUGAAAUUGAUUCCCAAGCCCUCCAAGUGGAGCGAGGACUUGAACCCAGACUGGCUGGCUCCAGAGGCCAAGCUUGUAACCACUAAUAGCAAUAGCAGCUGACACUUGGGUGUGAUCGCCCUUGCCUGCUGCACUUCUGGGCACUCCCGUAUCUGCCGAGCACAUCCUCCUGAGUGCGCUUAUUACCCUACGUUACACUCGGGGCAAUCCAGGCACAGAAAGGACUUGCUGCUCGCCCAGGUCAAGCAGCAGUAGAAGACAGAAUGGGGCUGAUCAGCUGCUUCCAGAAUACGUGGUCUACCCCUCGGUGCAGCCCCAGGACAAACUGAAUACAGGCUCAAUAAAUUGUCAAUGAAUCCUCCUUGAAAAAAAUUUUUACAAAAUAUUUAUCGAUUUCAUCUCUGGGGGAGAAGCGCUAGAGGUCUUUCUUUUUUUUUUUUUUUUUUGUACUGGGGAUCGAAUUCGGAACCUUGCGCUUGUGAGGCAGGCGCCAGAGCCACUGAGCUAAAUUCCCUGCCUGACAGUCCUAUGAUUGUUUGACAUUAGUAGUUCCUAAAUGAUCGU